AUUGAACGCUGGCGGCAUGCUUUACACAUGCAAGUCGAACGGUAACAGGUUAAGCUGACGAGUGGCGAACGGGUGGGUAAUGCAUCGGAACGUGCCCGGUCGUGGGGGAUAACGCAGCGAAAGCUGCGCUAAUACCGCAUACGAUCUAAGGAUGAAAGCGGGGGACCGUAAGGCCUCGCGCGAUCGGAGCGGCCGACGUCAGAUUAGGUAGUUGGUGGGGUAAAGGCUCACCAAGCCAACGAUCUGUAGCUGGUCUGAGAGGACGACCAGCCACACUGGGAUUGAGACACGGCCCAGACUCCUACGGGAGGCAGCAGUGGGGAAUUUUGGACAAUGGGCGAAAGCCUGAUCCAGCAACGCCGCGUGCAGGAAGAAGGCCUUCGGGUUGUAAACUGCUUUUGUACGGAGCGAAAAGGUCUCCUCUAAUACAGGGGGCUCAUGACGGUACCGUAAGAAUAAGCACCGGCUAACUACGUGCCAGCCGCCGCGGUAA
rnacentral:rRNA from 1 species